AUGACCGGUGUCGGCCCCAUGGCCGAGGUUGAAUCUCGCGUCCUUUCUUGUGCAGCGCUGACGCGUGUCCUCAACCACGUCUACCUUCGCGAUCCUGACGCCAACCUCGAUGAGCUGCUGGAGCCCAUGGAUAGCGAGCGCUCCGCCGCUGCUGCUGAAGCCAUGAAGGGCCGAGCGGAAGCCCUGCUGGUGAAGUUCCGUGCCUUUGCCACUGCGCCCAAGGCAGGUACUGCUGAUCCCGCGGCCUCGGGAGGUGGAGCAGAUGGAGGCAACGCCACUACGGAGGCAGGGCUCCUGGCGAGUGACGCCGCCGCCCAAGGGUGA
rnacentral:rRNA from 1 species